CCCCCGUGGACGAACGGUUUAAGUCGCUGUUCUUUCAAAGCAGAGAUUGCGGGUACUCUUCGAGAAGCCGCUUCGCGUCUACAAAUCCCGUCGGGGGAA
rnacentral:tRNA from 1 species